UAACAAGUUUGAGAGUUUUACUGCUGCGUACUGUCUGCCAUAUACGCUUAUUUGUUGAGAAGCUGCGCCAGAUUUCCGAUAACGAACGCAUACCUUUCUAUUUACGUGUUUGAUGCAGAUGAUUCGUCCAACCAGAUUCUUUUGUUACCGUCGUGCACGACUUUUACUUUUGUUCUACGCAACAAGUGCGAUAUAAAGUUGGUAUAAAUACUCUUCGAAGAUCUAGAAUAGAUCAGUUGCGUUUACAUCGUACGACUUGCAUAAUCGACUUGCUUCCCAAGAAACGAAAAUAUUGAUAAAAUGAAGUUCGUUAUUUCCACUAUUUUUGUUAUUAUUGCUAUGGCUGUGAUUGUUUCUGAAGGAUGUAUUUAUACUACCAAUGUCAUUUGCUCAAGAGAAUUUGAAUGUUGCCGUGGAUUUGAAUGCCAAAGUACAAUUGUUGGUAGGCGUUGUAUUCCACGUAAUCAAGAUUACGUUUACGCAAAACAAUGGACGCGACUCGUAAACGAUUAUCAACUGCAAUAUAAACUAAGCCCAAUUUUCCUGGGUAUGGGAAAAUACCGGAAUAUCACUAAUUCGGAAUACUAAAGAGGCUCCCCUUUGUAUCUUAUCUAUAUGUUACAUUAACUUUUUUGUUCGUCUUCAUUAGAAAAUCGUUACAACGAUCUUACAGUCGUUCAAGAUAUUUACUGUAACUCACGAAAUAAAUAUAAAUAUAUAUCAUUUUUAUGCAUAUAAGAGCAUAUUUUUUUAUUUAUAAUUUCUUGAAAAUUAGAUAUAAAUUUGUUUUAUAAGACAUCAUAUGUAUAUCGAUCUCUAUUUGCUAGAACGUAUUUUUGCAUAUUUCUCUUAUUAACUUGUAAAAUAAGUUUGCCUAUUGUUUGCAUUUCACAUUUUUUCCUAAUUUAGAAAUUUGCGAUCAGUUUUUCUCAAUAUAAUAAUAAACAGGAUGGUACCUAAAAUUAAUUAGUAAUAAUCAAAACAGAUUUCGCGCCUGUAGCACAUUUAUUGUUCCGAUUGAUAAAGCAAUUGAUUAGAGAUUAGAUCAAAGAUUUUCAAAUACCGCGACGUACCGUUGCGCACCAAAAUGCUUACCUUAUAGCUUAUUUGCUAUUUUAAAAUUUAUGCAUUUAGAUAUUUAAUCACAUUUUAAUCAUGUGUAUUAAAUGAAUUGCUGAUGUUUCAAUUCUUAUUCCAAAAAUUCCGUUUUGAUUGAGGUCCGUCUUAUAUAAGAAAAGUUCUCUAAGACAUUCACACCCACUAUGUUCAUGCUAUUAAUGUUAUAUUAUUAUUAAUGCGCUCGCGUACGGCAGUGUGGCUUGUAAUAUUUUAACAAUAAAAAUUAUUACACAUCAA